rnacentral:rRNA from 1 species
AAUAGAUACCCUGGUAGUCCUAGCCGUAAACGAUACUCGCUAGGUGUCGGCCACGGUGCGACCGUUGUCGGUGCCGUAGGGAAGCCGUGAAGCGAGCCACCUGGGAAGUACGGCCGCAAGGCUGAAACUUAAAGGAAUUGGCGGGGGAGCACCACAACGGGUGGAGCUUGCGGUUUAAUUGGAUUCAACGCCGGAAAUCUUACCGGGACCGACAGCAAUAUGAAGGCCAGGCUGAAGACUUUGCCGGAUUAGCUGAGAGGUGGUGCAUGGCCGUCGUCAGUUCGUACUGUGAAGCAUCCUGUUAAGUCAGGCAACGAGCGAGACCCACGCCCACAGUUGCCAGCGUACUCUCUGGAGUGACGGGUACACUGUGGGGACCGCCGCUGCUAAAGCGGAGGAAGGAAUGGGCAACGGUAGGUCAGUAUGCCCCGAAUAUCCCGGGCUACACGCGAGCUACAAUGGUUGGUACAAUGGGUAUCUACCCCGAAAGGGCGGGAAUCUCCUAAAACCAAUCUUAGUUCGGAUUGAGGGCUGCAACUCGCCCUCA